rnacentral:rRNA from 1 species
GACGAACGCUGGCGGCGUGCCUAAUACAUGCAAGUAGAACGCUGAAGGAGGAGCUUGCUUCUCUGGAUGAGUUGCGAACGGGUGAGUAACGCGUAGGUAACCUGCCUGGUAGCGGGGGAUAACUAUUGGAAACGAUAGCUAAUACCGCAUAAGAGUAGAUGUUGCAUGACAUUUGCUUAAAAGGUGCAAUUGCAUCACUACCAGAUGGACCUGCGUUGUAUUAGCUAGUUGGUGAGGUAACGGCUCACCAAGGCGACGAUACAUAGCCGACCUGAGAGGGGGAUCGGCCACACUGGGACUGAGACACGGCCCAGACUCCUACGGGGGGCAGCAGUAGGGAAUCUUCGGCAAUGGACGGAAGUCUGACCGAGCAACGCCGCGUGAGUGAAGAAGGUUUUCGGAUCGUAAAGCUCUGUUGUAAGAGAAGAACGAGUGUGAGAGUGGAAAGUUCACACUGUGACGGUAUCUUACCAGAAAGGGACGGCUAACUACGUG